UACCAGCACCCCGAGUGGUCGGGACGUUUAUUGGGCCUAAAGCAUCCGUAGCCGGUUCUACAAGUCUUCCGUUAAAUCCAACUGCUUAACAGGUGGGCUGCGGAAGAUACUAUAGAGCUAGGAGGCGGGAGAGGCAAGCGGUACUCGAUGGGUAGGGGUAAAAUCCGUUGAUCCAUUGAAGACCACCAGUGGCGAAGGCGGCUUGCCAGAACGCGCUCGACGGUGAGGGAUGAAAGCUGGGGGAGCAAAC
rnacentral:rRNA from 1 species